rnacentral:precursor_RNA from 1 species
GAUGAUUGAUUAGGGUUUUAGUGUCGUCGGACCAGGCUUCAUUCCCCCCAAUUAUCACUCCCUCACAAUCCGAAUUAACGAAGAAGAUUUGUCCAUUUUCAACUUUUGAUCUAGGGUUUCUAUCUAUGAAUCCAUGUGAUAUAUUUCAAUAAUUCAGUGUAAAACUUAGUUCGAUCUUUAACUCUUUCUCUGACUCAAUUAUUUUUGUAGGUCUUCAAGAUCUUCUGAGUUUCAGGACAAGUUAGCAUUCAGAGAGGCUAAAUCUAUUCCUGGUCAUGAUUAAUGAUUAGGGUUAUUUACUUUCAGAUCCGUUUGUUUCUAAAAAAUCAAACCAGAUCUGCUAGAUCUGAAGCUAGUAGAUCUGAGUCUUUCAAACUACUGCUAUAUUUAUGUUUCUUGUUAGUACAACUAUUAGCCUUAGGGUUUCGUCAUUACAUUACUUCAAAGAUUUAAUACUUUAUAUUUAUAGAUUCUCAUAUUUUUCUU